rnacentral:snRNA from 1 species
UGGAAAGGCCACACGGUUCAAUCAGCAAAGAUACAGAGAAGAUUAGCAUCGUCCCUGCACAAGGAUGACGGUUCAAAUCAACGAGAAGCCGCUUCGCUUU